UCGUAGCCUGCAUUUGCACAUCCAUACAUUUGUGUAUUGGUCACUCUCUGUCUGGACACAUGACUCCGAAACGCGUCACGUGUUUGUGUAACUUUUGAGACCAAAACAAAUUAUAAGCAGAGGUAACGAGAGAACGACUUUGUGAUUUCCAUUUUUAUUAACUCCAAUUUCGUGUCUUUUUGUAAAAAACUAAUAUUUUUGCCUGGUUUAUUGGUUUGUAAGGCGGUGCUUUGAUUAAAAUCUGUUUGCCGCUCAUUGCAAGAGAAACGAAAACACCGGUGAAAGUGGCUGGAUGGACCGUUGGGAAAUGAAAAUGUUGAAACAUACACGGGCUGAUUAAGAGUGCUCUCAGCCACUCAGUUACAAUGAGACGCGCAGUCAAAACAAGUCAAACUGCAGUUCUGCAGACACAGAGUAAACGCGUAGAUCUGCUGAGUUCUGGCGUCCUUUCAAAGUUAUGAUCAACAACUGCUGUAAAACAAAUUCCUAUGAUUAUUACGGUUAUUGACGUAAAAUCUACGACUAUUGGAAAACAUACAACAUAGAAACAUAUACACAGAAAAUAGCUAAGCCAUCAACAAGUUGUUGCCCUUCAUACUUCCCACAUUUGAGCACACAACACAUACUAGUAAAAACUUAAUAGUAAAGAAACCGGGACCCCCAACAAACCAACAGCACCACACACAUACGUACUCACACAGACACACACCCACAUCCAUCAACACAACAAACUCUCUCACAGAGAAGUAGUCAACAAUACGUGAAGCCAUGCACGCUGGGAUACAUUCUCCCACCGAAACCAUUCACUUAUUCUGAUUCAUUGGGAGGGUAGGUCUCCGGCCUGCCGCCCAUGUGGCCCCAGGCAGAGACCGCAGCGCCUCCCGAGCACUGCCCACCCACCCCAACUCGGAAGAAGCAGAGGGCAGCGGAAAAGGCACCUCAGAACCCUGCAACCCAGCUUGAACAUGAGUGUGUGGAACUGGAGUGCACUGAAAGUGGGGGACACCUCCAUGAGCACGACCACUGGCUGACGGUGUGCCCCUCAGACAGUGCCCCGCCCACCCUAAAAGUCUAUUGUGCAGUUAGUCAAAGGGAUCUCACACCUUCAAAUCAACCAGUUCCCAAAGGACAUUGGAGACAUUAAGUCUGAGUGGAUCAGUGGUCCACUUUCAUUGUCAACAUAGGCAUUCGUUCAUGGCCGGUGUUUGUCUCCGGUGACUGUCUUGGUGGUAACCCCCAAACAAAGUUAAGGGAUGCCAUCAAGCUGAAGAAGGGGUCCUAUUAGGCCUGGAUGACCUCUAAGACUUGAGGUAGCUGACCAACUGGCCUAGUGUGCCCUUGCUCUGGCCUAGGAGGACUUCUGGUACGCCAUGGAGGAGGACUAUUGUUCAGCCUCAAGGAGAUUAUGGCAAAUUGUUUGACGCCUCAGGAGGACGAAGCAGCUCUUCACCAACUCUGUUUUCAGUUGAGGUGGGCAACUGUUGACCUUGACAGAGGAUGUUAUUGAAUGCUGGAAGGAGUACUUUUAGCAUCUCCUCAAUCCCUCUGAUAGCCUUCUGCUGAGGAAGAAGAGGCAGGGGACUCACUGCAUGAGAGAUUGUGGGAAUUUGCCCAACCAGUCUACAUGUGUUCUGUGCAUUUGUGGCAUGAAUCCUGCCUCCUAACCAUGUCUCUGUCUAGUUUCUGUUUCAUUUUUACGACUUCAUGUUUAGUUCUUGUUUGUCUGUUUCUGUGUAACUUUACUAUUCUGUCAUGUGACUCGCAAAACUGUUGCUUUUUACUCAUUCGACCGGAUAUUUAGGCAUCACCUUUGAUCAUAGCCAGUGGCCAGAUUGUUAGUGCUACUUGCCUAUGCUCCAGUGUUGCUACCCGUGUAACGAUCAGUGCCUGUGUGACUAUUAAAAGUAUCAAACACGUUAAAUUUUAGUCCGUCUCUGUGCUGUGCUUUUGGGUCCAAACUGAUGCCCUCGUGCUCACUUUGCAGCUGCCCCAAGUGGAGGAGUUCAAGUAUCUUGGGGUCUUUUUCAUGAGUGAGGGAAGGAAGAUGCGUGAGUUUGACAGAGGGAUCAUUGUGACUGCAGUAAAGUCGGUGUACAGAUCAUCAAGGUUCACUAUUGUACCUCCAGCAGGCAGCUCCACACUCCCACCAACCUCCUCCUCCUCUCUCUGGCUGUGUCUGAUUUCAUCGUUGGUCUCUUUGCAGUGCCAUUUCAAAUUCUCUUAGUUGAACCCUGCUGGUUCUUGGGUGACCUGUUAUGUGUCGUAUGUGCUGUUCUACCUUUUAUUAGUGUUCCUGCCACCGCAGGUAACAUGAUUCUAAUAUCAGUUGACCGUUACGUGGCCGUCUGUGACCCUUUACGUUACCCCACAAAGCUCACACAAAAGACAGUUAAAGUCCUUAUUCUCCUGUGUUGGGUGUUCUCUGUUCUCUACAACCUUCUGUUUUUAUUUGAAAACGUGACUCAUCUAGGCAAGUUUAACUCCUGCUAUGGACAAUGUGUAAUUACUGUAAAUUUAACCUGUGAAAUAGUGUUAAGGUUCAUUGUCCCCAUCUCAUCCAUCAUCAUCCUGUAUGCGAGGGUGUUUGUGGUGGCUGUGUCUCAGGCUCGUUCCAUGCGCUCCCAUGUUACAGCUGUUAAACUGCAGCGUUCACUGACUGAGACUGUUCAAAGGUCAGAGCUGAAAGCAGCCAGGACUCUGGGUAUUGUCAUUGCUGUGUUUCUCAUGUGUUACUGUCCAUAUUAUGGUGUUUCUCUCUCUGGCUACCACUUUGUCAUUGGUUCUUCAGUUAACAUUGUUAUGUUUUUUGUGGUAAUAUUUAACUCCUGUCUGAAUCCUGUAAUUUAUGCCUUUGUCUACCCGUGGUUUAGAAAAUGUGUCAAACUGAUUGUUACCCUUCAGAUACUGAAGCCUCGUUCCUGUCAGACCAAAGUACUGUAGUAAACUAUUUGUGAUGAUAAAGACAUGAAUGUGACCUAAGAUAUUUUAGGUAAUUAUAUAUGUUAUAUAAA